UACGUAGGGUGCAGGCGUUAAUCGGAAUUACUGGGCGUAAAGCGUGCGCAGGCGGUUGUGCAAGACAGAUGUGAAAUCCCCGGGCUUAACCUGGGAACUGCGUUUGAAACUACAAGGCUAGAGUGUGGCAGAGGGGGGUGGAAGUUCCACGUGUAGCAGUGGAAAUGACGUAGAGAUGUGGAGGAACACCGAUGGCGAAGGCAGCCCCCUGGGUCAAAACUGGACGCUCAUGC
rnacentral:rRNA from 1 species